UACGUAGGGGGCAAGCGUUGUCCGGAAUUAUUGGGCGUAAAGAGCGUGUAGGCGGUCCGGUAAGUCAGCUGUGAAAGUCAAGGGCUCAACCCUUGAAAGCCGGUUGAUACUGUCGGGCUAGAGUCCGGAAGAGGCGAGUGGAAUUCCCGGUGUAGCGGUGAAAUGCGUAGAUAUCUGGAGGAACACCGGUGGCGAAAGCGCGAGACUGGGCCGUAACUGACGCUGAGGAACGAAAGCCAGGGGAGCAAAAGGG
rnacentral:rRNA from 1 species